GGCACGGUGGCGCAGUGGUUAGCGCUGCUGCCUCAUGACAAGAAAGUCGUGGGAUUGAAUCCGGCCUGAAGUUU